UACGUAGGGGGCGAGCGUUGUCCGGAGUUACUGGGCGUAAAGGGCACGCAGGCGGUGCGGCGCGUUUCGCGUGACAGCGGAGGGCUUAACUCUCCGAGGAUGCGAAAGACGGCGGCACUUGAGGGCCAGAGAGGGACACGGAAUUCCGGGUGGAGUGGUGAAAUGCGUAGAGAUCCGGAGGAACACCGAAGGCGAAGGCAGUGUCCUGGCUGGUACCUGACGCUCAGGUGCGAAAGCUAGGGGAGCGAACGGGG
rnacentral:rRNA from 1 species